rnacentral:rRNA from 1 species
GACGGAGGGUGCUAGCGUUGUUCGGAAUGACUGGGCGUAAAGGGCGCGUAGGCGGCCUGGUAAGUCGGGUGUGAAAGCCCGGGGCUCAACCCCGGAACGGCACCCGAUACUGCGGGGCUUGAGACCGGGAGAGGAGGGUGGAAUAUCCAGUGUAGAGGUGAAAUUCGUAGAUAUUGGAUGGAACACCAGUGGCGAAAGCGGCUCUCUGGCCCGGAUCUGACGCUGAGGCGCGAAAGCGUGGGGAGCAAACAGG